rnacentral:lncRNA from 1 species
AAGACUAUACUUUCAGGGAUCAUUUCUAUAGUUCGUUACUAGAGAAGUUUCUCUGAACGUGUAGAGCACCGAAAGCCACGAGGAAGAGACAUAGCGUUUUCUCCUGAGCGUGAAGCCGGCUUUAUGGUGUUGCUUAGCUGCAACUGCCGUCAGCCAUUGAUGAUCGUUCUUCUCUCCACUUGGGGGAGUAAGAGGGAGAGAACGCGGUCUGAGUGGUUUUUCCUUCUUGACGGUUCAAUGAUAGCGCUAGUGUGCGAGGUCUCCGGGCUGUUCAGUUCGUGCGUCGCAUGUGGGGAGGAAGGCUUUUGCUUUCUGUUUCAGCGGCGAUGGCCGUCGUGUUUCGUCCGGGUGGGUUUUUAAUUUUAGGCUUCGGCGUGGGGGGUUGCUGUGUGGCACCUCCUAUUCUCUUUUUGCGUUUUCUCCCAUUCUCGCUGCCUCUUUUGUUGCCGUUUCCCGCCCGCCACUGCCACCUCCAGACGGGGUCUCCGGGUCUCUUGUCCUGUCUGGCGCGCAGGCUGGAGUGCAGUGGCGCCAUCUCGGCUCCUAGCAACAUCUGCCUCCCGGGCUCAAGCGAGUCUCCUGCCUAAGCCCUCCCGAGUAGCCGGGGUUUAAAGGCGCACA